AUCCAGCUGACGAGUCCCAAAUAGGACGAAACGUGCGUCCCGGAU
rnacentral:hammerhead_ribozyme from 1 species